AGAGUUUGAUCAUGGCUCAGGACGAACGCUGGCGGCGUGCUUAACACAUGCAAGUCGAGCGGUAAGGCCCCUUCGGGGGUACACGAGCGGCGAACGGGUGAGUAAUACGUGAGCAAUCUGCCCUUCACACGGGGAUAACCACCGGAAACGGUGGCUAAUACCCGAUACGACCACUUCAGGCAUCUGAUGGUGGUGGAAAGUUCCGGCGGUGGAGGAUGAGCUCGCGGCCUAUCAGCUUGUUGGUGGGGUAAUGGCCUACCAAGGCAACGACGGGUAGCCGGCCUGAGAGGGUGACCGGCCACACUGGGACUGAGACACGGCCCAGACUCCUACGGGAGGCAGCAGUGGGGAAUAUUGGACAAUGGGCGAAAGCCUGAUCCAGCAACGCCGCGUGAGGGAUGACGGCCUUCGGGUUGUAAACCUCUUUCAGCAGGGACGAAGCGCAAGUGACGGUACCUGCAGAAGAAGCACCGGCCAACUACGUGCCAGCAGCCGCGGUAAUACGUAGGGUGCGAGCGUUGUCCGGAAUUAUUGGGCGUAAAGGGCUCGUAGGCGGUUUGUCGCGUCGGGAGUGAAAACUCAGGGCUUAACCCUGAGCCUGCUUCCGAUACGGGCAGACUAGAGGUAUGCAGGGGAGAACGGAAUUCCUGGUGUAGCGGUGAAAUGCGCAGAUAUCAGGAGGAACACCGGUGGCGAAGGCGGUUCUCUGGGCAUUACCUGACGCUGAGGAGCGAAAGUGUGGGGGAGCGAACAGGAUUAGAUACCCUGGUAGUCCACACCGUAAACGUUGGGCGCUAGGUGUGGGACUCAUUCCACGAGUUCCGUGCCGCAGCUAACGCAUUAAGGCGCCCCGCCUGGGGGAGUACGGCCGCAAGGGCUAAAACUCAAAUGAAAUUGACGG
rnacentral:rRNA from 1 species